rnacentral:tRNA from 1 species
GCGGAAAUCGUCUAACAUUGGCGUAGGGCACUCAAUAGAGGGAGAAAUGUAGGUUCGAAUCCUGCUUUCCGCU